GAAAUCCUAAGAGCGUGACCGUUGAUGAUGCAGGGAACCGUCGGGUGUGACCAUUGACAGGGAAAAGGUGCACAUUAAAGAUCCAAAGUCAUGACUGACUCCAAGUAUUUCACAACCAAUAAAAAAGGAGAAAUAUUUGAACUAAAAGCUGAACUCAACAAUGAAAAGAAAGAAAAGAGAAAGGAGGCUGUGAAGAAAGUGAUUGCUGCUAUGACCGUGGGGAAGGAUGUUAGGUGCUGCUCUUCUGAGGUGAAUUUUUGUUAUUUUUCUUUUGUUUGUUAGCACAUAAAGCACAUUUGGUUUUUAAAUUGCUGUCCUGUGACCAUCUAUCUAA
rnacentral:sRNA from 1 species